AACGAACGCUGGCGGCAGGCCUAACACAUGCAAGUCGAACGGGUGUAGCAAUACAUCAGUGGCAGACGGGUGAGUAACGCGUGGGAAUCUCCCCAGAGGUACGGAACAACUCAGGGAAACUUGAGCUAAUACCGUAUGUGCCCGAGAGGGCAAAGAUUCAUCGCCUUUGGAUGAGCCCGCGUUGGAUUAGCUAGUUGGUGGGUAACGGCCUACCAAGGCUACGAUCCANAGCUGAUCUGAGAGGAUGAUCAUCCACACUGGGACUGAGACACGGCCCAGACUCCUACGGGAGGCAGCAGUGGGGAAUCUUGGACAAUGGGCGCAAGCCUGAUCCAGCCAUGCCGCGUGAGUGAAGAAGGCCUUAGGGUUGU
rnacentral:rRNA from 1 species